rnacentral:rRNA from 1 species
UACGGAGGGUGCAAGCGUUAUCCGGAUUCACUGGGUUUAAAGGGUGUGUAGGCGGUCCCUUAAGUUUGGUGUGAAAUCUCCCGGCUCAACUGGGAGGGUGCGCCGGAUACUGAGGGGCUAGAGUGCGGGAAGGGAAAGUGGAAUUCCUGGUGUAGCGGUGAAAUGCGUAGAUAUCAGGAGGAAUACCGGUGGUGUAGACGGCUCUCUGGACCGCAACUGACGCUGAGACACGAAAGCGUGGGUAGCAAACAGG